rnacentral:lncRNA from 1 species
AGUGGGAAAAGGCUUUGUUGUUGUUGUUGUUGUUGUAGAUUGGAUGAAUUGAAGAAAAUCAAUGAACAGAAAUUAUCAAGGGGUGUGUGAGAAGUAAAAUAAGGUGUGUAGAUAGCAUACCACUUUUAAAUAUCGCUUGUAUAUAAAAAGAGAGAGGUGCCACUUAAUACUAUAGUUUAGUGAUAUUCCUCUUCAAUUGUAAAUGAAAGGUCUUAGAUUCGAUUUUUGCCAAAGACGAAUUUGAACCACGAUAUUAUGGUUGACCCAUUGUGAGGCUUAGCACACUCUCUCAUCCUCUUAGGGUUGAACUACGAUAUUAUGGUUAACCCAUUGUAAGGCUUAGCACACUCUCUCAACCUUUUAGGGUAGAUAAUAUCAUUUUUUCAAGGGGAGAGAGAGAGAGAGAGAGAGAGAGAGAGAGAGAGAGAGAGAGAGAGAGAGAGAGCCUAAUUGUGAGGUUGUAGCUAGAGAGAGAGAGAGAGAGCGCCUAAUUGUGAGGUUGUAGCUAGGUAAAGGGUAGGGUAGUAUACGUCCUUGAUUCGAUGCACCUCCUUGUAUUAUUAUUAUUGUUUGAAUAAAAAAUAAAAGUGGGAAAGAUUUGAUUUUUGAACUCCUUUUUAUCUAUAUAUUAAUUUCUAAUAUUUAGAAUUAAAAGCUUAAUCAAGUUGGCUACAACACUGCUCAUUUAUCUACACUCAAGUUCAAACCCUUUUCUCUAAUUAAGAAUUUAAUAUAAAAUCAACUUUGCUAUAUAAAGAAUAUAAAAGUUUCUAUAUAAAAAAUUAACAGUGAUACAAAAGGAAAAGAUGAAUGUACGAAAAUCGUUUCUCAAAAUAAAUGGAGAUCGCCUGUGUUUUCUUCUAAAUGUAAUUAUGUAUAAAUGUUUCUACUUUGUCUUAUGAAGCAAAUUUUGGAGCAUUACAAUUGCAAUUCACAUUAGUAUAGUUACUAUUCUAAAAAUUCCCGCAUAGGCCCUGUCUAGGUGCUAAGCAGCUGGCUACCGUCCUGAUUAAAUCCUAUGUGUUUGAAAAUUAAGAAAUGACACCUAGACUUGCCCAGGAGCCAGCCUAAUAUAUCUAACACACCUAGAUCGCGACUCUCACUUAUACAUAAAAUAGAUAACUUUCAUUUUGCAUUUUUUUUCUUCAAUAAAUUGUAAGAGACUUGUUGAAUACUUGGAUGAACAUUUUUUAUAUGUUUGUUCCCCAUAUUUCAGUAUAUUCUAAUAAUUUAUAAUCUAUAUAUCAUUCUAUUUUGCAAUUUGUAUCACAAUACAAUUAUGCAUUUUUCAAAUAUAAAUAGAGAUUUAUUUAUAUAUUAUAUAAUAAAUUCAAUUAAAAACCACGUGACAAUGGACGUGUGAAAAAAAAUUGAAAUUCCACUAUAAAACCAAGUGACAUAGCACGAUUUCUUAUAAGUUCUUUCAUGAUUUAAUCCCUCACCAAUGUGAGGCUUUGUCCUCACAUUCUCAUAUGGUAUCUAGCCAUGUGAUCUACGACACAGCAUAACAAAUCAUAAUAAUUGACAUGAGAACCGAUCAUAAUUUUAGCAGAUUUUCGGAAUGUUUUUCCUAAUAGAAUAAGAAAAAUAAAUAAUAAAAAGAAAGAUUUGCUAUAUAAUGUUUGUUUUUAUAUCGCAACGUGCAAGCCUUGUAAUUUUCCUUUUUGAUUUGGAAUAUCUGUAUGAAAUUCUUUCCAUUUUUGAUUUCUUAUUCUCGAUAUUCAUCCAUGGUACAUAGAGACACGCCUUAUUUGACUCGAUAUAUGUUAUUAUAUUGCUUCAUUUGUCUUGUGUUGCUCACAAGAGAAUAUAAGAAAUAAUAAUAAUAAUUGAAAUAAAUUGAAAUAAUUCUAUAAUUUGAAGACUCCAACACACGCAAAGUUUGAGUCUUGUUCACUGCUGGGUCCACCACCAACCAGAAAAUAAAAUCACUUUAGGUCAAAAACAUACUACUUUGACCUCAGAUAGUCUCUCUUCGAGAAGCCCAUGAAGAACUAUUCUGUCUUCGAGAAGCCCAUGAAGAACUAGAGUAGCGAGGCUAUUAAUUAACUUAUUUACACGUAGUCUGAGAAGAAUAAUUCAUACCAAAUGGGAAUAAUUUUGUACCAAAUGGGUUAAUCGCUACCGUGGUAUUUAAAUUAAUAAUAGGAGAAAUUAGGUUCCUAUUCCUCUUUUUAUUACUCAAUUGAUUAAAACUUUGUUCAUUUUUAAUUUUUGAUUGAUGUUCUUGGGUAUUAAUAAACGUCAUUAAUUAUUUCAAUAAUAAAAUAUUUUUUAUUUCUAAAUGUAUUCAUUUAGUGUUAAAAAUGUUACAUUUGAUAUAUUUAUAUUUAUGGAUAAAUUUUUUAUCAUAUAUUUUUAUUUUUAGUUUGUACCCAUUUUUAAUUUGCAAUCCUUUUUCAAUUUGUUCCAAUUUUCUUUUCUAUUUUAAUUUGUACCCAUAUAUUAAUUUCUUUUUGUGCCCAUAUUUUUUAAAGUUUUAUUUCUAUUUGUACCCAUAUUUUUUAAUUUAUUCGUACCCUUUUUAAAUUUUUCUAAAUGUACCCAUGCUAAGUAUAUGUAUUUAUUUUAUGUUUUAAAAUGUAUCAGUAGUUAUUUUUUAAAAUAUGUUAGUAAUUAUGUGGGUACAUUAUUUCUUGCUAUAAUUUUGUGAAGAACAAUAUUACUCUAAUAUUCACAAAUCCCGACCUAAAAUCAAGGCAUGCUAGCCAUCACGUGAGAGUGACGUAACCAUGUGCGCAGUGCGGAGGAAUAAUGAUAUAAAGAAAUGCGAAUUAGUAAAACCCAACAGAGUAAAACACUAGAUAAGAUAAGGUGAAAGACGAGAAUAUGUGUGACUACACAUAACCAGAGCGUAGGUAUCCUAGGUGCAGUCCAGCAGGACAAAUGCUAACUAUACAAUACCAAAAAUGGUCAUACAUUUGUGGUGAUCUGCCAAACCCACCGUCAAUUCCUCGUGAGCCACCAACGAGCACUCCUACUUAAAACCUGGAGGGGCGCAAAACAGAAAGUGUGAGUGGGCAAAAACAAAGCUUUUCAAAACCAUUUCAUUUAUCAAAAUUAGUAACCAUCGCCGUAAAACCUGUAUAAUUCCCAGAAAAUAGCAUAAAUGUUUAUAUCUCACAACCAAAUUCGAAAUAACAAUUCCACAAACAUACCAUGUCAAAUCUCAGCAAGAAAUAAGUAAGCCAUGUGAAAUAAACUAAUAUGGAAUGGUAUGCCAGCCGGAGUCACCUAACAUGACCUGUAUGGCUGGAUCUAUGACUCAUCAACUAGUUCUCUGCACACAAGUCGGAACCACCUAAAGUGGUCUGUACGACAAGCUGGGUGUAAAUAAAUACGCUCAAGUUCUACAGUCACGUGAAGGCUGUGUGAAGUAUCACAAGUCACCUAUGAGUUAGAACCACCUAAAGUGGUAUGUACGACAGACUGGCACUUGCCUUGGAUCCAAGGUGAGAGUGUGGUGCGGGAGGUGAACGAUCACAUGAAGGCUAGGCCUUGUCCUCGGGGGGAGCACUAGCACCAAGGUGCAAGAUAAUAAGCUCGAAAUAUAUCUCAGCACUAUUAUACUCAUUACCAUCACUACCAUCAAUAUACUCACCUGAAGCUUACCUGAGCGUCCCAACAUCAAGCAACAAUAUAUAUAUAUAUAUAUAUAUAUAUAUAUAUAUAACCAUACUAAUGCACAAUUAAACAUAGAGAGCAUUUGACAUGGCAUUUCAAAAUAUCAAACCAUUUAAUUA